GUACCCGAAACCGACUCAGGUGGUCAGGUAGAGAAUACCAAGGAGAUCGAGAGAAUCGUGGUUAAGGAACUCGGCAAAAUGCCCCCGUAACUUUGGGAUAAGGGGGACCUGAGCUGUCGUGCACCCGUGCGGUGUGGUGGCGGUGAGGGGCGCAGAGUCCAGGGGGAAACGACUGUUUACCAAAAACACAGGUCCGUGCGAAGUCGUAAGACGAUGUAUACGGACUGACUCCUGCCCGGUGCUGGAAGGUUAAGAGGAGUGGUUAGCUUCUGCGAAGCUACGAAUCGAAGCC
rnacentral:rRNA from 17 species